rnacentral:rRNA from 1 species
UGGGGAAUUUUGGACAAUGGGCGCAAGCCUGAUCCAGCCAUGCCGCGUGCAGGAUGAAGGCCUUCGGGUUGUAAACUGCUUUUGUACGGAACGAAAAGACUCCUUCUAAUAAAGGGGGUCCAUGACGGUACCGUAAGAAUAAGCACCGGCUAACUACGUGCCAGCAGCCGCGGUAAUACGUAGGGUGCAAGCGUUAAUCGGAAUUACUGGGCGUAAAGCGUGCGCAGGCGGUUAUGCAAGACAGAGGUGAAAUCCCCGGGCUCAACCUGGGAACUGCCUUUGUGACUGCAUAGCUAGAGUACGGUAGAGGGGGAUGGAAUUCCGCGUGUAGCAGUGAAAUGCGUAGAUAUGCGGAGGAACACCGAUGGCGAAGGCAGCCUCCUGGGCCAGUACUGACGCUCAUGCACGAAAGCGUGGGGAGCAAACA